rnacentral:rRNA from 1 species
UACAGAGGUCCCAAGCGUUGUUCGGAUUCACUGGGCGUAAAGGGUGCGUAGGUGGUGAGGUAAGUCGGAUGUGAAAUCUCCAGCUCAACUUGGAAACUGCAUUGGAAACUACCUUGCUAGAGGAUUUGAGGGGGAUUGGAAUACUUGGUGUAGCAGUGAAAUGCGUAGAUAUCAAGUGGAACACCAGUGGCGAAGGCGGGUCUCUGGGCCACUCCUGACGCUGAGGCACGAAAGCGUAGGUAGCGAACGGG